AUUGAACGCUGGCGGCAUGCUUUACACAUGCAAGUCGAACGGUAACAGGCCGCAAGGUGCUGACGAGUGGCGAACGGGUGAGUAAUGCAUCGGAACGUGCCCAGUCGUGGGGGAUAACGCAGCGAAAGCUGCGCUAAUACCGCAUACGAUCUAUGGAUGAAAGCGGGGGACCGUAAGGCCUCGCGCGAUUGGAGCGGCCGAUGUCAGAUUAGGUAGUUGGUGGGGUAAAGGCUCACCAAGCCAACGAUCUGUAGCUGGUCUGAGAGGACGACCAGCCACACUGGGACUGAGACACGGCCCAGACUCCUACGGGAGGCAGCAGUGGGGAAUUUUGGACAAUGGGCGCAAGCCUGAUCCAGCAAUGCCGCGUGCAGGAAGAAGGCCUUCGGGUUGUAAACUGCUUUUGUACGGAACGAAACGGUCCGGGUUAAUACCCUGGGCUAAUGACGGUACCGUAAGAAUAAGCACCGGCUAACUACGUGCCAGCCGCCGCAGUAACAC
rnacentral:rRNA from 1 species